AGGAAGUUAGUCCAAACAAGACAUUUGAUUUCGGCUCAAAAAACUGUGGUUAAAAUCCACAACUCCCUU
rnacentral:tRNA from 1 species